CCUUCGAUAACUCAGUUGGUAGAGCGGAGGACUGUAGAUCCUUAGGUCGCUGGUUCAAAUCCGGAUCAAAGGA
rnacentral:tRNA from 1 species